GGGCCCGUUGCUGCACGAGUUAGGACUCACAUUAACAAUUUGGAGAAAAAGGUGAAAGUGGCGAGCAAAAAGGCUUCAGAUUGGAAGAGGAAGCUUUUUAAGAUUAGGAAGGUAUUCGAGGAGGCUUUAACAGAAGUCGAGCAUCUUCGGUCGACUAUUUGGCCGAAGACAAAAGUACAUACCGAGGAAAGAAACAGGCUGAUUGAAGAGUGCAAAAG
rnacentral:lncRNA from 1 species